CGGCGUGCUUAACACAUGCAAGUCGAACGAUGAAGCCUAGCUUGCUAGGUGGAUUAGUGGCGCACGGGUGAGUAAUAUAUAGAUAACGUGCCUCUUAGUCUGGGAUAGCCAUUGGAAACGAUGAUUAAUACUAGAUACUCCUUCUCAUUCUAAUAUGAGUCGGGAAAGUUUUUCGCUAAGAGAUCGGUCUAUAUCCCAUCAGUUAGUUGGUAAGGUAACGGCUUACCAAGGCAAUGACGGGUAGCGGGUUUGAGAGGAUGAUCCGCCACACUGGUACUGAGACACGGACCAGACUCCUACGGGAGGCAGCAGUGAGGAAUAUUGCACAAUGGGGGAAACCCUGAUGCAGCAACGCCGCGUGGAGGAUGACGCAUUUCGGUGUGUAAACUCCUUUUACGAGUCAAGAAAAUGACGGUAGCUCGUGAAUAAGCACCGGCUAACUCCGUGCCAGCAGCCGCGGUAAUACGGAGGGUGCAAGCGUUACUCGGAAUCACUGGGCGUAAAGGACACGUAGGCGGGAUGCCAAGUCUGAUGUGAAAUCCUAUGGCUUAACCAUAGAACUGCAUUGGAAACUGGUAACCUAGAGUAUGGGAGGGGGAGA
rnacentral:rRNA from 1 species